UGCCAUGUGUACAUGUUUCAGGUUUAAAUGGAAGAGAAUUUAUUUUAUUUUAGUGAGAUUUGUGCUGUUUCCUUGUUUUGUGUGUCACACAUUUAGAAAAACAGAUGCACUGCCUUAAACCUGAAUAUUUUUUAAUAUUAGUUGAGUAUUUUAACUCAAACUCAAUUGUUAGAUUGACACAGUAACAGUUAUCGUCUAUAGGUAAUUAAAACCUAAAAUUCAGUUUCCAAGAAAAUGAAAAUAUUUUAAAAGCUCAAUACAUUUUUUUUAAUAAAGAAAUAUUGGCAUUCUGAAAAGUUUGUCUAUCUCCUGUACAUUAUAUGCACUCAGUACUUGGUCGGAGCUUCUUUUACGUGAAUUACUGCAAGAAAGCAGCGUGGCAUGGAGAUCAGCCUGUGGUUCUGCAGAGGUGUUAAGGAAUCCCAGUGUGGACAGGUACAAGGUCCUGCUAGAAAAUUAAAUCAGCAUUUCCAUAAAGCUUGCCAGCAGAAGGAAGCACGAAAUGCUCUAAAAUUUCCUGGUGGAUGGCUGUUCUGACAGUGGACUUCACACCGACACCAGCAGAUGACACGUCACCCCAAAUCCUCGACUGGAAACUUCACACUGGACCUCAAGCAACAUGGAUUCUGUGCUUCACCACUCUUUCCUCCAGACUCAUGGGCCUUGGUUUCCAAAAAUCCCUGUUUCUUGUCCAUCAUGUCCCACAAUAUGUUUUCCUUCCACUACACUGUCCAUGAAUAUGCUUGAACUUUUUCAGUUUACCUUUCUUUGUGGAGGGUGUCAGUGACGGUCUGCUGGACCACUGUCAUUUCAGCAGUUUUCCCAUGAUUGUCUAGGCAGGUUUGUCAGUCUGAUGUAAUAUUAGGAUUAGGAUUAGGGGAAAAAAAUCUAAAAAGCUGGUGAUGUUUAAUGUCCACACAGGUACAACUUCAGCAAUCAGUCCAGUUAAUUAAAUCGUUAAAUCUACUGUUUUUAUAGCAUUUAUUGUCUUAAAUAUACUUUUUUAUUUUAUUGUUUUUGUUCCCCCUUGAAACAAACAAAAUGGCCAAAGUAAUCCAGUAAAACGUUGGUGCUACACAUAGCUUGUUUAUUUUGUUUGCUGGAUCACAAGAAUAACCACCGUGCCAAAGUGUUUAUAUCAUGGUUAAACCAUCUGAUUUGUAUUACAUGAUCUGCCCUUUUUUUCUGACCUGCCCUUUAAAGAACUCCUCAGCACUGGGAAAAUAGAUUUUGUAAAAAUGUCAAAGUAGGUCAUUUAGAGCAUGUAUCUCAGAAUUAAAAAUAGUAACAUGGCCAGGAUCUGUUCAAUA